rnacentral:ncRNA from 1 species
ACUAUGCCUAGCCCUAAAUCUUGAUACUUCCACUACUAAAGUAUCCGCCUGAGAACUACGAGCACAAACGCUUAAAACUCUAAGGACUUGGCGGUGCCCCAGACCCACCUAGAGGAGCCUGUUCUAUAAUCGAUAACCCACGAUGCACCCAACCGCCCCUUGCCAGAGCAGCCUAUAUACCGCCGUCGCCAGCUCACCUCGCCUGAGAGCACAACAGUGAGCAUAAUAGCCCUAGCCACGCUAAUAAGACAGGUCAAGGUAUAGCCUAUGGGGCGGAAGAAAUGGGCUACAUUUUCUAAAGUAGACAAUUCCACGGAAGGGGACAUGAAAUCGUCCCUAGAAGGAGGAUUUAGCAGUAAAGCGGGACAAUAGUGCCCCCUUUAAGCUGGCCCUGAGGCACGUACAUACCGCCCGUCACCCUCCUCACAAGCUACACACGCCUGUAACUAACCCCCUUCAUCAGCUGAAGAUGAGGUAAGUCGUAACAAGGUAAGUGUACCGGAAGGUGCACUUAGCACAUCAGGACG